GAGAGUGCCAGCAUUUCCUAUUUUUAUUCAAAAUAUCGCAUCAGAAACAAAUAUCAGUAGUUUUCAUACCUCAGACUGACAGUAACAUGUAAUCAUGUAACAAAAUUAUUUGUCUGCAUCAAUCAAAACUGACCAUAUUUGACAGCCUCAACCAAAACUGACCAUAUUUGACCGCAUCAACCAAAACUGACCAUAUUUGACCGCAUCAACCAA
rnacentral:lncRNA from 1 species